CCCCUACCCACCUUCACAGCUGGCGCCACUCUGAUCAAGAGAGAAUCCUCGCUGGCAUUCACAGAGAUUCUCCUUUGGUAAAACAAAAUUGAUCAAUCAAGAAGGAAGCAAAGGAUGUAACCAAAGGGACACUCGCAGCGAUAGGAGCCAUCCGUAUUGAUGCACUGCCCAUG